rnacentral:lncRNA from 1 species
UGUUGACUUUUGACAUCAAACUCUUCAGUCCAGCUGCACUCUAUUGAGUGUGAACGAUCUUACUCAAUAGUACCCAAACUGGUCAAGGUUCCUGUAAAGAGAAGACCAAACUUCAGGCAAGAAGAGAGUUUGGAGAUGAACUUGCUUACCCGUCUAAAGGAUGUGGAAUUGGAGAAUAAGUGAGCUAAUCUUGGAAGAAUUUUGCAGCAAAACAGGACAUUUCUCCAUGGAUCCAGAGGAAGUGGUAACGAGGGUUUGAGCUGUAUAGGGAUCUGGCUUCUUCAUGGGUAUUCCUAGUGGAUGGCGUCAAGUCUACAAUAGAGACUGCUUGGCUGUCUGCAGUGGAAAAGACCUUCAAGUUGACUGUGAGUGGGUGCGACUCAUCAAGAAAAAUAACCUCACCACCACAACAACACAUGAUGGGAGAGACCGAAACUUCUUUGGGAGAACAUAAGGGGAAAAAAAAAAGAAAAAGUGAAGUGUAAAUAUUAUUAAACACAUGAAAGCAGAGCCAUUUACUUAUUAGGAAGGCGCUCAUUCACACACAGGUGGACUUGUGGUCCCUUAGAAGUACGCAAACACGACC